rnacentral:lncRNA from 1 species
CGGGGUCCAGCGUCCAGUAGUUGCCCUUGCCCGGGUUGCCCGGCUCGCGCGGCACCUUGACGAAGCAGUCGUUGAGCGUCAGGUUGUGGCGGAUGCUGUUCUGCCACUUGCGCGGGCUGUCGCGGUAGAAGGCGAAGCGCUCGGUGAUGAAGCGGCCCUCUGCCAAUGCUCAGGGAAGACGGAGAUGAAGAGACUCUUGAUCUGCUGGGGAGAUGGACACACAUUUACAACUAUGAGAGAGUUGGCAUUUCCAGUAUUAAACCAGGAAGGGAAGGAGAGCGGCAGCCCGACAACUGAUUUCAGAGCCCACAUAUUCUCAACCGAGUGCAGCAGAAUCCUGCAGCUGGACUCAGGCAUAGAACCAGAGCCACAGUCUUUCUCAGACUUGGGGUUGGAGGCCCUCUGAGGCCCUACCACAGCCUCUGUCUCACACCUACAGCUAUGGUGUGGGGCUCAGGGUAUGGAGAGUGGCUCUUAUUACCUCCCACGGCUGACUGCAAUUUUCUUGUACCUUCACUUUGCCAAUCCAUGUGUAGAGCCUGGGUCAUAGUAUAUGUUCAAUAAAUUAUACUGAAUGUGCA